GGGCAUGUAGCGCAGUUGGUAGCGCGCUCGCUUAGCAGCUUACAAAUUGUGUAACCGACUGCGAGAGGUCUUGGGUUCAAAUCCCAACUUGUCCA